GAGAUAGAGUCCAAGACUUGAACCCUGGGCUAACUGUGAGGGUUUUUUGCAAGCGACAUUUGUUAUUUACAAAGCGCAACUCUCUUUCUCUCUAAAGUUUUCGUCUUCUUACAAGGUUUCUCCAUCAGACUUUGGUUGGCAAGGGUCAACAAAAUGGGUCAGCUGCAAUGGAGGGAAUAGUGUGACCUUCUUUUUUGCCUCCAAAAAGAAAAGAAAAGAAAAAAAAUUAGUGUCACAAAAAC
rnacentral:misc_RNA from 1 species